AAGUCGUAACAAGGUUUCCGUAGGUGAACCUGCGGAAGGAUCAUUAACACGUAUCCAACAUUAAACCCCCCGUGCAUCUUCACAGAGCUCGUCGCUCCUCUCGACAACAGCAAUCCUGGUAAAUCAGUGGCGAAAGUAGUCUUUGAUUCAGGACCUCUGAAGUUGUAAGCAGGCGAUUUGAGCCUUAUAGUGCCCCUUUACGACGAACAAGUUAAAUUAGGCCUCUACCACCGUGGUGGAGGAAAACGUACAACUGUUAACAAUGGAUAUCUUGGUUCUC
rnacentral:misc_RNA from 1 species